UUAGAGGAAGUAAAAGUCGUAACAAGGUCUCCGUUGGUGAACCAGCGGAGGGAUCAUUACCGAGUUUACAACUCCCAAACCCAAUGUGAACGUUACCAAACUGUUGCCUCGGCGGGAUCUCUGCCCCGGGUGCGUCGCAGCCCCGGACCAAGGCGCCCGCCGGAGGACCAACCAAAACUCUUAUUGUAUACCCCCUCGCGGGUUUUUUUAUAAUCUGAGCCUUCUCGGCGCCUCUCGUAGGCGUUUCGAAAAUGAAUCAAAACUUUCAACAACGGAUCUCUUGGUUCUGGCAUCGAUGAAGAACGCAGCGAAAUGCGAUAAGUAAUGUGAAUUGCAGAAUUCAGUGAAUCAUCGAAUCUUUGAACGCACAUUGCGCCCGCCAGUAUUCUGGCGGGCAUGCCUGUCCGAGCGUCAUUUCAACCCUCGAACCCCUCCGGGGGGUCGGCGUUGGGGAUCGGCCCUGCCUUGGCGGUGGCCGUCUCCGAAAUACAGUGGCGGUCUCGCCGCAGCCUCUCCUGCGCAGUAGUUUGCACACUCGCAUCGGGAGCGCGGCGCGUCCACAGCCGUUAAACACCCAACUUCUGAAAUGUUGACCUCGGAUCAGGUAGGAAUACCCGCUGAACUUAAGCAUAUCAAUAAGCGGA
rnacentral:rRNA from 1 species